rnacentral:rRNA from 1 species
CAGUCGCCGCGGUAAUACGGAGGGGGCUAGCGUUGUUCGGAAUUACUGGGCGUAAAGCGUACGUAGGCGGCUUUGUAAGUUAGAGGUGAAAGCCUGGUGCUCAACACCAGAACUGCCUUUAAGACUGCAUCGCUUGAACGUCGGAGAGGUGAGUGGAAUUCCGAGUGUAGAGGUGAAAUUCGUAGAUAUUCGGAAGAACACCAGUGGCGAAGGCGGCUCACUGGAUGACUGUUGACGCUGAGGUACGAAAGCGUGGGGAGCAAACAGGAUUAGAUACCCCUGUAGUCCCUGUCUCUUAUAC